GAAAUGCGAUAAGUAAUGUGAAUUGCAGAAUUCAGUGAAUCAUCGAAUCUUUGAACGCACAUUGCGCCCGCCAGCACUCUGGCGGGCAUGCCUGUUCGAGCGUCAUUUCAACCCUCAGAACCCCUUGCGGGAUCUGGCGUUGGGGAUUGGCAUCCAGCCAGCCCCGAAAUCUAGUGGCGGUCCCUCCGCGACCUCCCCUGUGCAGUAGCGAUACCUCGCAGCGGGACAGCGGUCUGACCACGCCGUAAAACCCCCAACUUCACAAGGUUGACCUCGAAUCAGGUAGGAAUACCCGCUAGACUUAGGC
rnacentral:misc_RNA from 1 species